CUAAAGCUGUCUGGUGAUCAUUCUUAUUGAAAGACUCUGUGGAAUAGUCACAUCACCUAUUCUAAAGUGAAAAGGAAAAAAAAAAAAAAAAAAAGUGUCCCUAAAGACAAGGGAGAAUGGAUAGCAAUGGUAUCUUCUGUCAGUAAUUGAUUCUUCUGUCAGUAGUUAACUAGAGCAGUGGCCUGGUAUGACAGCCCUGCAUAGAAAAGCAGCCAGUCAAAAGCCUUUCUGACAAGGCUGACAAGGUGGAUAUGAUCUCUGAAAAUUGAGUUUAGGAUUGACUUCAUUGAAUGGAUAAAUGAAAAAUGGUAACGGUUGUGCCAGUUCUGUUGUAGUGCAGCUAAUUGGACUGAGGAAUGCAUGGUUUGGGAUAAAUUCAUCUGUCUUGAUCACCAAUGACUUAAAGGUUGUUCUGUAUUUUGUUUUGCAGAGGAAGCUAUAUCCAGAAUUCUUUGGACAGGAAACACUGGACUCAGUUUCAGAGUUUUCAUCCAUGAAGGCUGGAGAAAAUCUGCCUGGAACUCUCACUGCAAAGAGUCAUAGCCCUGUUCUUAAAGCUAGAAGCAUGUCUGGAGAUGUAUGCAAUGGGUGAUAUUUUAUAGAUUGGUUUAUA
rnacentral:lncRNA from 1 species